GGGCGUUUAGCUCAGGGGUAGAGCGCUCGCUUCGCAUCUGGUCUCCGAUGAGCCACUAGCACUUGCGAGAGGCCGUGGGUUCAAUUCCCACAAUGUCCA